GUGAUCCAUGGUAACCGAGUCCUUAGCAGUGCAGCAACCACUCAGCCUGCCAUAGCUAGUUAUGCAUUGAAGAAACCUCUCUUCGGACCGGCUCUCUCCGGUGCAAAAUAUCGGGUUCAACUAACAACAUUUGAAGGAUCGUGAAGAUGGCGACUGGAGCGGGUUGGCAGCAGUACUACAGCCCUGCUGUUGGCAAUCCAUCGACCGGAGCAGGGAAAUAUAAUUCUGGCUCAUCAUCAACAAUCACCAUGGAAUAUACCCAAGAUCUGCACCUCAAAAUGAGCAAGAAAAUAGCACAGCUGACAAAGGUGAUCUACGCUCUGAACACCAAGAACGACGAGCACGAGGCGGCCAUCCAGACGCUGAAGGAGGCUCACGAGGAGGAGGUGCAGCAGAUCCUGUCGGAGACACGGGAGAAGAUCAUGCAGUACAAGAGUAAGAUCAGCGAUGAGAUGGACCUGAAGCAGCGCAUCCAGUCGCUCGAGGAGUCCAUGGAGCUGCACGAGCGCAUGAAGCGCCAGGCCCUCGCCGAGUUCGAGACCUACCGGCAGCGUGUGGAGGACAUGCAGCUCUGCACCGAGGCCCAGCACACACAGCGUGUUGUCACCAUGUCCCGCGAGGUGGAGGAGAUGCGGCACUCGUUCGAGGAGAAGCUGCGCUCUUUCGGCACGGCGCAGGCCCAGUUUGAGCAGGAGAAAAAGCUGGCCCUGGAGGAGCUAAAGGCCAACCAUCGGCAGGAGGUGUCGGAGCUGCUCCGCAGCCACCAAAGCCAGAACCAGAACUACAGCAAGGACCAGGAGAAACUGGGCCAGCUGCACAAGGCGGAGGUGGAGUCCCUGUCAGAGCGUGUGGAGGAGAUUAAGGGGGACAAGAAGAGGCUGGUGGAGGAGUACGAGGCCAAGCUCAACAAGGCCCAAGCCUUCUACGAGCGCGAGCUGGAGGCCAUGAAGCGCACGCAGCAGCUCACCGCAGAUAACCUGCAGGCCUGGAAGAAGACCGAGGCGGAGCUGCGGAGGGAGUUCCACAUGCAGGAGGCAGCGCUGCAGAAGACCCUGGGGAAGCUGCGCUCCGAGCUGCAGAGGGUGCAGGAGGAGGCCCGGGAACAUAGGGAGAAGUCCCACAAACUGCAGGCCUCGCUCACUGCAGCCGAGAACAAUAUCAAGGAGUUGAGCAAACAGCUGGACGAGGUGACGCAGGAUGCCGAGAUCGUGGAGAUUCGACAGAAGGAGGCGGAGUGUGAGCUGGAGGCCACCAGAGAUCGUGUGCAGCAGCAGGCCACAGAGAUCCUCCUCAAAGCCAGUCACAUUGGCAGCCUGCAAGCCACUCAGAUGAACCACGAGGCAGCCAUCCGGGACCUGGAGUCUGAGAAGUCUCGUCUGAAGGACAAAGUGGUACGUCUAGAGGAGGAACGCGGGUCCCUGCAGAACAAGUCCCAGGCACUGGAAGACAGGCAGAGGCAACAGAUUCUCUCCCUGGAGAAGACUCUACGGGAGGAGAAGCAGAUGUAUGAGAAGGAGAUGGUAAACAUGCGUGCCAAAUACGAGGACGACGCCGCCCACUUCAAAGAGUCACAGACCCGUGCGCUGGAGGAGCUGUCGAAAAAACACCGGACCACCCUGGAGAACACACAGACUACUGCCGAGACGGAGAGGAGCUGGCUACUGGCCGAAAUGGAGCAGCAGUUUGAGAGGGAGAGGCUCUCAUUGGAGGAGCAGAAGAACCAUCUCAGACAACAACUGGACAGCCUGAGGGAGGAGCUCGCCGCCAAACUUGAACAAGCCAAUCAGGAGGUGUUGCGCCUGCAGGAGCUGGUGAAGGAGGGUGAGCAGGGCAUGGAUUCAGCAGAGGGACACAUCUCCAACCUGAAUGAGGCCCAGGACAAGCUAGUGGAGGAGCUGGAUGCUACCAGGGCCAGACUGAGAGAGACCAGCAACCUGCUGACCGCCCUGCAGGGAGAGAUGGAGGCCCAGAAGAAGCAGCAUGAGGCUAAAGUCAUCACUAUUAAAGAGGACGAGAAGCUCAAGAUGGACAAGAUGGCGCUGGAACUGGAGCUCAAGUGGACCGAAACGUUAAGACAGGAGUGUAAGAAGCUGCGUGAGGAGCUAAGGGAGGAUCAUGAGGAUGACAAGAGGGCAGCCCUCAUCCAGCUGGCCCAGAACAAGGAGCAGGAGCUGGGCAGUGCCCGCGAGAGCUGGCAGAGGAAGGUGGAGGACCUACUGGACCAGAUCUCGUUGCUGAAGCAGAGUCUGGAGAUGCAGCUGUCUCAGUCUCAGAGCUCCCUGCAGCAGCUCCAGGCCCAGUUCAGCCAGGAGCGGGAGCACCUGAGCCAGCAGCUCCAGGAGCUACAGCUGGAACACCAGCGCAGGGAGCACAGCCUACAGGAGGCCCACUGCUGCGCCAUGCAGGACCUGGAGGAGACCCGCCAGCACGACCUCAAGGAGCUGGAGCAUCGUCUGCGGCAGCAGCACCACAUAGAGCUCCAGUCGGUGAGAGAGGCUCACAGACACAGCAUUGAGACGCUCAAACAGCAGUCAGAGCAGGAGCUGCAGACUCUACGCUUCGAGCUGGAGGACGAGGGCAAGGCCAUGCUGGCCUCUCUGCGCUCUGAGCUGAACCACCUCCAUGCCUCGGCCAUAGAACAUCUACGGCAGACCCACCAACAGGAGACGGCUGCAGCUAAACUGGAGCUGGAAAAUGCCCUGGAGAACAGCCGAACACAGGAGAGGGAGUUGCUGGGCCGGAUCUCAGACCUGCAGGAGGAGGUGGAAAGGAGGAAGAACCACAUUGCUCAGCUGGACCAUGAGAUUCACACACUGAACGAGAACAUCAACACACUCACCAAGGAGCUGGAGCUCAAGGGCAAGGAGGUGCUGAAGAUCCGCAGCGAGGCCAACCAGCAGAUCAGGGCUCAUGAACAGGACCUGUCGAAGAAACACGAGCGAGAGAUGGCUGAGAUGAACGCCAUGCACAACAGAGAGACUCAGAACAUGCUGUGUGACUUCAACAAGGCCCAGGAACUCCUCAAAGACAAGAUCUCUGCUCUGCAAGUCCUGCUGGAGGGCACGGAGGAUAAGUUCCGGAACAGGGAGAGCCGGCCUGAGGACCUGCAGGUGAUUGCUGAGCUAAAGGACAUAGUGACUGAGAGGGAGUCCCUCGUCAAGAAGCUGGUGGUAAGUGACGACAAAAAGUUCUACCAGCUGGAAUUGGUGAACAGAGAGACCAACUUCAACAAGGUGUUCAACACCAGUCCCAACGUGGGAGUAAUAAAUCCCCUCAUCAAGCAAAAGAGAAAGAAUGACAAAUCAGCAAACCGAUUCAGCAGCUCUCCAAACCUCAGGGCUCUGGAGGCAGCAGGAACAGGGAUGGGGAGCGGGCAGCCCCAGCCCAACCGCUUAGAGCCUAUCCCCAACUCCCCCAUUCACCACCUUGACCUCAACACUAGCAAACCUCUGCCCCCACCGACCCCUCCGACAGAGCCCAAGAAAUUCAUGAGCUGUCAUUUUGCACAUGUGUAACAAGCACAAGUGUGAAUGUGAUACUCUCUUGUGCCUGUGUUGUGCUAGCUUGUGUGUCUGCACUCAUCCGGUGCUUAGGUUUCUGCCUAUUGAUGCACUUGUUAUCCAUCUGUGUGCCUCUCUGUGCUUUGGGUUCCUCUUGCCCUUGCUGCAUGCUGCUCUGUAUGUAAGUAAGUUGCAGAUGAGUCGGCGUGGCAGAUUUGUGCGGUGCUGCCCUCCAUUGUCAUGGGACUCUCCCAUCACUGCGUCACACACACGGCCUGUCUGUCUCAGCCCCUGUCAAGACCCUCGGAUGUCAAGCCCUUCUUAGAUAGGAGGCAUUUGGUGCCCGUCAACGGGUUAAGACCCCUGGACAGACACUGAGGGAGGGGCCUAAACACCAGACAACCAGUCAGUCAGUCAGCAAGUCAUCCAGACAGACAUACAGCCAGCCAGAUAAACACCAGAAGGAUACCCAGCGCUAUAAGCAAAGAGCAAAGGUUAUUUUAUGUGGAAUAAAGCUGUAACGUUACAAUACAGUGAGGUUUGUUGGUGUUUAUUGUGAAUUUCCAAUGCCAUGGUCAAGCCAGCAACCCAGUGAAAUGCAUUAGGUUGAAUAGGUUACAUCUUGGGUAGACUGCAUAGAACAAACCACAAUAGGCAAGUUUGUGGUCUUUCAAUACAUUUUCCAUCUAACAUUCUUUCCUUGGGCUUAUCAUUGGAUUUGCUUUUCAGAAACUACAGAGUAUGAGGAGAACAAACACUAUUUGGUAUUCAGGAUUUUUAAUAGAUGCAUUCACAUUGUAUAACCAAGAGAGCAUAAUCCCCUAAGGACCUGAGUCAAGGAUUAACAACUACAUGGUCUUGUUGUAAUUCAAUCUCACAAAACCCCAUGGUUGGAUGAUCAUGUAGAACAGAAAUGGUUGUUUUAAUACAACCACAGGCUCUCUUAAAAAUGAGCAAACUUAACACGGUUAAAGGCUGAUUAGUGCAACAGAAAUGUUAUUGUUUUCGAGGAAGAAUUUACACUCGAGAGCAGAUAAUCAAAUCUAUAGAUAUACUGCCUCAAUAAAAUGCUCUGAACUGGAUGAAUGACUACACUGACUUCAAACACAGAACAUAGCAUAAAAACUCAGAGCCUUUAAAUACAAUACAACUACUCUCAACCCUGAGGUGCAAUAAGGAUUUCUUUGUCAAUAAUGUCCUGUAUAACUGUUUGCUGCUGUUGUGGUGUGUGCCCCCCUGUGUAGCCCUCCUGAGACAGAGGAGUCACCCGUAGGAUCCCCCGACCCCCAGCGCCAGGAAUGGUUCGCCCAGUACUUCACCUUCUGAUUUUUGCAACUCGAGAGCAUGUCAACCAUACAAAACGAAAAAGACUUUAAUAUAUAUAUAUAUUAUUUAAUGAUCAACCACUCCAUUGCAUUCUGUUGAUUACUUCACUGUGAAUGGGUUCCUUGUUUGUACAAUGCCGAUGAGUAUGUUUGACGUUUUUCUUUUUUGCAGUUUGUAAUGAGUGGUACAUAUGCUGCUAUCAUUUGUUAACUACAGUAUACAGUAAAUUGUCCUCUCUCUGUACCUUAUUUUAGGAUGGCACUGUAAUGAUAGUUUGUUACAGCCGCAUAAGACAUUUUGGUAGAAUUAAACUGUUUGUAUGGUUGUCUCAACACAGAUAUAAUGAUGUCUCACCAAUUUUAAAAAUAAAUUGCAUAUUUUAUAUUUAUAUUAUACUGUGUAUGCUUAACUAAUAAAUACUGAUUAUUGUGACAUUUA